rnacentral:rRNA from 1 species
UCGGGAAUUUUGGGCAAUGGGCGAAAGCCUGACCCAGCAACGCCGCGUGAAAGAUGAAGUAUUUCGGUAUGUAAACUUCGAAAGAAUAGGAAGAAUAAAUGACGGUACUAUUUAUAAGGUCCGGCUAACUACGUGCCAGCAGCCGCGGUAAUACGUAGGGACCAAGCGUUGUUCGGAUUUACUGGGCGUAAAGGGCGCGUAGGCGGCGUGGUAAGUCAUCUGUGAAAUCUCCGAGCUUAACUCGGAACGGUCAGAUGAUACUGCUGUGCUAGAGUACAGAAGGGGCAAUCGGAAUUCUUGGUGUAGCGGUGAAAUGCGUAGAUAUCAAGAGGAACACCUGAGGUGAAGACGGGUUGCUGGGCUGAUACUGACGCUGAGGCGCGAAAGCUAGGGUAGCAAACGGGAUUAGAUACCCCAGUAGUCCCUGAGCGGGCUGGCAAGGCGCAU